rnacentral:rRNA from 1 species
GACAGAGGGUGCAAACGUUGUUCGGAAUUACUGGGCGUAAAGCAAGUGUAGGCGGUUCGAUAAGUCGGAUGUGAAAGCCCCGGGCUCAACCCGGGAAGUGCACUCGAUACUGUCGAGCUAGAGUAUCGGAGAGGUUGGUGGAAUUCUCGGUGUAGAGGUGAAAUUCGUAGAUAUCGAGAGGAACACCGGUGGCGAAGGCGGCCAACUGGACGAAUACUGACGCUGAGACUCGAAAGCGUGGGGAGCAAACAGG